ACGCUGAGGCACGAAAGCGUGGGGAGCAAACAGGAUUAGAUACCCUGGGAGUCCACGCCGUAAACUAUGAGUACUAAGUGUCGGGGUUAAACUCGGUACUGAAGUUAACACAUUAAGUACUCCGCCUGAGUAGUACGUACGCAAGUAUGAAACUUAAAGGAAUUGACGGGAUCCCGCACAAGCGGUGGAUCAUGUUGUUUAAUUCGAGGAUACACGAAAAACCUUACCAGGUCUUGACAUACUCUGCAAAGCUAUAGAAAUAUAGUGGAGGUUAUCAGGGAUACAGGUGGUGCAUGGUUGUCGUCAGCUCGUGUCGUGAGAUGUUAGGUUAAGUUCUAAAACGAGCGCAACCCCUGUCGUUAAUUGCCAGCACGUUAUGGUGGGGACUUUAGCGAGACUGCCAAUGAAAAAUUGGAGGAAGGUGGGGAUUACGUCAAAUCAUCAUGCCCCUUAUGAUCUGGGCUACAAACGUGAUACAAUGGCUGUUACAAAGAG
rnacentral:rRNA from 1 species